UACGAAGGGGGCUAGCGUUGCUCGGAAUCACUGGGCGUAAAGCGCACGUAGGCGGCUUUUUAAGUCAGGGGGGAAAUCCUGGAGCUCAACUCCAGAACUGCCUUUGAUACUGAGAAGCUUGAGUCCGGAAGAGGUGAGUGGAACUCCGAGUGUAGAGGUGAAAUUCGUAGAUAUUCGGAAGAACACCAGUGGCGAAGGCGGCUCACUGGUCCGGUACUGACGCUGAGGUGCGAAAGCGUGGGGAGCAAACAGG
rnacentral:rRNA from 1 species